AUUGAACGCUGGCGGCAGGCCUAACACAUGCAAGUCGAGCGAGCGGCGGACGGGUGAGUAAUGUAUGGGAACUGCCCGAUGGAGGGGGAUAACUACUGGAAACGGUAGCUAAUACCGCAUACUAUCGGAUAACCCAUAUGGGAUUAGCUAGUAGGUGAGGUAAUGGCUCACCUAGGCGACGAUCCCUAGCUGGUCUGAGAGGAUGACCAGCCACACUGGGACUGAGACACGGCCCAGACUCCUACGGAGGCAGCAGUGGGGAAUAUUGCACAAUGGGCGCAAGCCUGAUGCAGCCAUGCCGCGUGUAUGAAGAAGGCCUUAGGGUUGUAAAGCACUUUCAGUCGGGAGGCGUUACCCACAGAAGAAGCACCGGCUAACUCCGUGCCAGCAGCCGCGGUAAUUC
rnacentral:rRNA from 1 species